CCUCUGUGCCUGCUCCUUCCUCGCCCCCCGCCGCCUCCCCUGCUCCCCCCUCCUCCUCCUUUCUCUGCAACGAGCUAGAAAGAGAGAGAGGGGGGAAAAAAGCCACUUACAAGGACUGAUGUGCAACUAAUUAAAGGCAGACAGGCUGGUAGCGUCUGCACACUCAAGCCCCCCCAAAUAAAGAGCCUGCUGCGGCAGCUCCCGUGAGGAUGCCGGAGGAGCGGCUGCCCGGCCGAGCACCGACCGCGGGGAUGCGUCCGGAGGAGGAGGAGGAGGAUUAAGCGAC